CAGUAAAGAUGCUGCGAGAAGGGACGCCGGAUGUACCCCCUGUGCUGGGGAGGAGCCUGCAAUGGCAUUGACUUUGGAGUCAGCGAAGCUGCAGCAUGCACGAGCUCUUCACAGGAGAGAGUGGGGCAUCAGAGUCAAGGACAUAGCACCAAACCCGAAACCCGAACACGAAAGGCAAAGGAGAGGAGAAAUGUGCAUCGGAGAAUGGGAAGAAAUGGGCAAAGUGUUGAGAAAGUCUGUGUCCAGGGAAGUUUUCCUGAAUUUGGGUAUGACCCCAGAACAGGAUGGGAUCAGGCCGAGCUUCCAAGGAGCACCUGAUGGCCGGGGAAGCCCACAUAGUGGCAAGCAUGCUUUCCAUUUCACAGUUCCAGGGGGACUCAAGGAAAUAGAAAAUCACAAGACUCUCAGUAUCUGAGGUAGACAUCCCAUGCAAUUAGUAGAGAACACAGACAAAUAGAAGAUACGUCUUUGUAUUUGAAAAUGAGGAGAGAGAUCACGUUUGGUAUCAGGAAUCCAUUUAUCUGCAAACAGCAAAAACAACAACACAGUCAACGCCUCUUAACCGUUGAUUGGAGUGAGGAGGGGAGGCAGCAGGGCCCAGGCUGUUUGUUACUCGGCUCAGCCAAGCCACGGGGGGUCCCGGCUGCUCUGCUUGUCUCCGCUCUGUCCCCCUCAGCAGGCACGCCUUCUGCCUCGGGAGCCGUGUCCUGUGGUUACAAGGUGGCUGCUGCCCUGCAAAUCUGCUCCAUGUUCCAGUUUGGAGUAAGAAGAAGGCGAAGAGCACAGGUGACCUCCUAGCAACACCUUGCCUUUUAACCCAGGCCAGAGCGUCCUCCUCAGGGGCUUCCACCUGCAUCUUAUUGGCCAGAACGGAG